rnacentral:pre_miRNA from 1 species
UGCCGAGGAAAACCUUGGUAGUUAACUGCAGCCGGUUUCCACAAAAUUUGGCAGUUAACUGCCGAAUGGCAU